UACGGAAGGGGCAAGCGUUGUUCGGAAUCAUUGGGCGUAAAGGGCGCGUAGGCGGGCUGUCAAGUCUGGGGUGAAAUGCUGCGGCUCAACCGUAGAACUGCCUUAGAUACUGACGACCUCGAGGAAGGUAGGGGCAUGCGGAACUGUAGGUGGAGCGGUGAAAUGCGCAGAUAUCAGGAGGAACACCGAUGGCGAAGGCAGGUCUCUGGGCCAUAACUGACGCUGAGAAGCGAAAGCAUGGGGAGCGAACAGG
rnacentral:rRNA from 1 species